rnacentral:rRNA from 1 species
CCUACGGGUGGCAGCAGUGAGGAAUAUUGGUCAAUGGGCGGAAGCCUGAACCAGCCAAGUAGCGUGCGGGAUGAAGGCCCUACGGGUCGUAAACCUCUUUUACACGGGGAUAACACCCUCCACUUGUGCAGUUCUGCAGGUACUGUGCGAAUAAGGACCGGCAAAUUCCGUGCCAGCAGCCGCGGUAAUACGGAAGGCCCGAGCGUUAUCCGGAUUCAUUGGGCUUAAAGGGAGCGUAGGCGGGCGUUAAAGUCAGCUUUAAAAUUGGGCGGCUCAACCGCGACUCGCAAUUGAAACUGGACGCCUUGAGUUCAGUACAGGUAGGCGGAAUUCGUGGUGUAGCGGUGAAAUGCAUAGAUAUCACGAAGAACUCCGAUUGCGAAGGCAGCCUGCUGGGGUGCCACUGACGUUGAUGCUCGAAGGUGUGGGUAUCAAACAGGAUUAGAUACCCCAGUAGUC